AGAGUUUGAUCCUGGCUCAGGACGAACGCUUGCGGCGUGCCUAAGAAAUGCAAGUCGAACGAGGACUUCGGUCCUAGUGGCGAACGGUCGCGUAACACGUAAGCAACCUGCCCUGAAGUGGGGGACAACAUCCCGAAAGGGGUGCUAAUACCGCAUGUGGUCACGAGUCGGCAUCGACUUGUGUCUAAAGAUUUAUCGCUUCAGGAUGGGCUUGCGGCCUAUCAGGUAGUUGGUGGGGUAAUGGCCUACCAAGCCGACGACGGGUAGCUGGUCUGAGAGGACGAUCAGCCGGAUUGGGACUGAGAUACGGCCCAGACUCCUACGGGGGGCAGCAAUUAGGAAUCUUGCGCAAUGGGGGAAACCCUGACGCAGCGACGUCGCGUGAAGGAUGAAGGCCCUCGGGUCGUAAACUUCUUUUGAGUGGGAAGAAAUUUGACGGUACCACUCGAAUAAGCCCCGGCUAACUACGUGCCAGCAGCCGCGGUAAUACGUAGGGGGCGAGCGUUGUCCGAAGUUACUGGGCGUAAAGCGCGCGUAGGCGGUUAUUUAAGUCUGGGGUGAAAGGUUCAGCGCUCAACGUGAACAGUGCCUUGGAUACUGGAUGACUUGAGUCUGGGAGGGGGAAGGGGAAUUCCUGGUGUAGCGGUGAAAUGCGUAGAUAUCAGGAGGAACACCGGUGGCGAAGGCGCCUUCCUGGCUUAAUACUGACGCUGAGGUGCGAAAGCGUGGGGAGCAAACGGGAUUAGAUACCCCGGUAGUCCACGCCGUAAACGAUGAGUGCUAGGUGUCGGGGGUAUCGACCCCCCCGGUGCCGUCGCUAACGCAUUAAGCACUCCGCCUGGGGAGUACGGCCGCAAGGUUGAAACUCAAAGGAAUUGGCGGGA
rnacentral:rRNA from 1 species